UGUCCUCCUCCUCGCCCUAUCGCCGCCCCUCCUUCCCCUCCCAGUCGCUCCCCUUUGCCCUCCCGCAGCAGAUCGAGCGCGCCGAUGCUGGUGUUUGCCGCCUCCUUCCUGAGGCUGUCGCCCCGCAUGUCCAAGCAGCAGAAGCGCGACAGGGUGGACGCCAUCACCACCUCCCCGUCCCCGGCCUCCUUCCGCGACGCAUCCCGUGGCGGCGCCCAGCGCGGCACCUGCCGACCGCCCUCGCGGCUGGCUGCUUGGAUGGAGACGACGGCGGCCUCGUCGUCCCCGGAGGCCGCGGUGCUUCAAGGCCGACCUGGCGCCCCCUCCUCGCCCUUCCGCCACCUCUGUGCUGGGGUUCGGUUUGCGUGCAACGGCGGUGGCGUACGAGGCGAACAAGCCGCUGGUGGUCGAGGACGUGCAGGUGGCGUCGCCGCUGGCCGGCGAGUCCGCGUCAAGGUCGUCUCCACUAUGCUACACCUGGAGAUGUAACCAUCUGUUCGAGGCCGCAAUAGCAAGGUUUAGUUCGAGCCACUGCUCGAGUGGCGGCGCACAUGGCGGCCACGGCCACGGGGCCAGCGCCGAACGGGGCACCCCCGUUUCCUUGUGCAGUGGUGGCUGGUCCUGCCAGCGAGGGGCAUGUGUUCGACGAAAUGCCAGGCAAGGAAGAGGCAGUUCUGGGCGCUGUCUCUGCUCGAUCGAAGGCCCAGCAGAGGAGAAGCGUGGUGAAGCACUUGAGGAAUCAAUGCAAGGGGCUGCCAUUAGCGAGUUGGGAGACAAUGCUCAGCUCAGCUCAGCUCAGCCCGACGACAUGCUUGACAUGAGGCAUGAGGUGCGCAUGUACAGCUAAACGGCUGGUUCGUGCUGCAGACAUGUACGUAUUCAGUGGCUGUUUUACAUGGACUGGUAGCAACUGGAGUUACUAUUGAAUUGGUUGGUUGACACAAGCAGCUUGCUAUCCAGUACAUAGGACUGGAUCAAUUGCAAUGGCUUCGCCAUUUGGGAGACGAUGCUCAGCUUGAUGGAAUGCUUGAUAGAAGAUGAGCAUGUUGUCGCCAUGGAGUGAAGGAGUGAUGGACUCUUCUUGGUGGCUCGAGAUCAUUGCAUUCGGCCAAGAUGGUUUGUUCUGCAGACAGACAUGUGUGUCCCAGCGUCAGUGAUCAUCUUCUAUCAGUCACGCAAGUUUAUCCACACCGACUACUACACCUGGAGCGGCAAGGAUCCUAAGGGCCUCUUUCCUUGCAUUCUCGGUGACAAGGCUGCUGGCUGCUGAUAAAAUUGUUGAGAGUGUCGGCGAAGGAGUGACCGACGUGCAGCCAGGGGGACUGCAAGAUGUGCACUAAGUAAGGAUCCGAUCUGAUUGGGCUCUGCUUGUGCUCGUGGUAGAUCGUGUGGUCUGCCACAUGCUUGGCAAGGUGCUCUCGUUGAUUCGUAUUUUAUAGACCUGAAGGAGCCCGUAUGGAAGGCACCUCCUCUCCGGGUGGUGAGAGCGUUGAGGGGUCGUGGGUGCAGCUAAUGGCCAUGUCCGUGGCCAUGCCUGCCAUUACCCUCUCUACAAGGGCACAGACAGGAAGACGCUUAGCAACCAGAUCGUCGUCCACUCCAAGUGGAGGGGACAACUCAAGCGAUAUGUCAGUCUGACAUGGAAAGUGCUAUGGAACAAGAGGUACCAAAAGGUUGAGAACCAAAGAGUGAUGCUGCUAUUGUUGCUGACAUUCUCACUAAAGAAUGUCCCUCCACCACAUUCCUUCACUAGUUGUGUUGUUUUGGUUGGUGCCAUCUUAUGUUACUGGUUACUAGUGCACAAUAUGGAGGCCAUAUUAUGAGUGUUAUUUUGUUUGGUGCAUCUUAUGAACCUGUGGUGUAAAGAUAAUGCUGGGCCUAAGUUAUUGAAAUCCUGGUGAAUUAUAUU